ACCCUGAAUCGUGUAGGGGACGGAGCUCGCCUCCCUCCCCGCCCCCAAAGCCUCGGCGACGUGCGGACACUUGGCCUUGCAGCGAUGUGCUGGAGGGCCAAGCUAAAGGGUCCAGCGCCGUCGCGGUCGAGGGUCACAUCGAAUGCCGCGAUCGAAAGCGUGGAUUCCCCGCGGUGCGAAGAGACUCGGACGCAAAAUCUGGAUCACAACUGGUGCCUUUCGAAACGACGUCUACGUCGGAGCGAGCGGUCCCUGCUCGGUUGUAGUUCGGAGGAGGUCCGGGCCCCAUCCCCCGUGGAGAUUUCAUGGCUCGGUCGUGUGCGCGGCGCUGUGCCAGGGAUCCGUCGAUUCGUCGGCGGCAAGUCGGGACUGCCGCAACCCCCCGUUGCAUUUGCUCAGGUGUUAACUCGCCCCUGGGAGCGUUCCGUGUUCAGGAUGGGUGCACUCGCAUGAUCUGCGUGGCAGGGGCCCCCGUCCGACGACAAGACUCUCCCUUGCGGCGACUCCCACCUUUGCGAGGUGAUGGGGCGGGNCGAAAAUCCAAAUGAAUGAAGUGCGAUCCAGCGCCUUGUGCGCUUGGGUCGGACGAAAGAGAAAAAAACACAAGGAAAUCACGACUCUCGGCAACGGAUAUCUCGGCUCUCGCCACGAUGAAGAAUGUAGCGAAAUGCGAUACUUAGUGUGAAUUGCAGAAUCCCGUGAAUCAUCAAGUCUUUGAACGCAAGUUGCGCCCGAGGCCUCGGCCAAGGGCACGUCUGCUUGGGCGUCGCACUCCAAAAUUGCCCUCCACCGCGAGGAGCGUAGAUGGCCGUCCGUGUCCGCAAGUGGGGCGGUCGGCUGAAAUGAGCACGAGGUCCGUCGAUCCGUCGCGACGAGCGGUGGUUCCCAAAGGCCGGCGUUGGUUUGCGCUGAUCGAGCGAUGCCUCGUGUGGAACUUUAUCUUUGGUGCCCCGGCCCGCCAGAGUGCGGGCCACGGUGCAUCUCUACCCGCGUCCCUCAA
rnacentral:rRNA from 1 species